AGCGAGCCGAAGCAGAGUCCGUGAAGCAAGAGAAGCGAGCCGAAGCAGAGUCCGUGAAGCAAGAGAGGCGAGCCGAAGCAGAGUCCGUGAAGCAAGAGAGGCGAGCCGAAGCAGAGUCCGUGAAGCAAGAGAGGCGAGCCGAAGCAGAGUCCGUGAUGCAAGAGAGGCGAGCCGAAGCAGAGUCCGUGAAGCAAGAGAGGCGAGCCGAAGCAGAGUCCGUGAAGCAAGAGAAGCGAGCCGAAGCAGAGUCCGUGAAGCAGAGAAGCGAGCGAAGCAGAGUCCGUGAAGCA